UUUUGUCAAAAGCUUUUUCUGUAUUUAUUGAGAUGAUCAUUUGGUUUUUAUUCUUCAGUUUGUAAUUUGGUGUAUCACAUUGAUAGAUUUGCAGAUAUUGAAGAAGAUCCUUACAUUCCUGGGAUGUCCCACUUGAUCAUGGUGUAUCAUCCUUUUAAUGUACUGUUGGAUUUGGUUUGCUAAUAUUUUUGAGGAUUUUUGCAUCUGUGUCAUCAGUGAUAUUGGCCUUUAGUUUUGUUUUUCGAGAUAUCUUUGUCUGGUUUUGGUAUCAGAGUGAUGCUUGCCUCAUAGAAUGUACUUGGAAGUGUUCCUUCCUCUGCAAUUUUUUGGAAUAGUUGGAGGAAGAUAGGUGUUAAGUUUUUUCUAAAUGUUCGAUUGGAUUCACCAGUGAAGCCAUCUGGUCCUGGACUUUUGUUUGUUGGGAGUUUCUAAAUUACUGAUUCAGUUUCAUUACUGGUAAUUGGUCUGUUCAUAUUUUCUAUUUCUUCCUGGUUCAGUCCUGGGGGAUUGUAUAUUUCUAAGAAUUUGUCCAUUUCUUCUAGGUUGUCCAUUUUAUUGGCAUAUAGUUGCUUGUAGUAGUCUCUUAAGAUCUUUUGUAUUUCUGUGGUGUCAGUUGUACUUCUUUUUCAUUUUCGAUUUUAUUGCUUUGGGCCUGCUCCCCCCCCCCUUUUUUUUUUCUUGGUAAGUCUGGCUAAAGGUUUAUCAAAUUUGUUUAUCUUUUCUAAGAACCAACUUUUAGUUUCAGCUUUUAGUUCUUUUUUCUUUCUUUCUUUUUUGUCUCUAUUUCAUUUAUUUCUGUUCUGAUCUUUAUGAUGUCUUUUCUUCUACUAACUUUGGGUUUUGUUUGUUCUUUUUGUAGUUCCUUCAGGUGUAAGGUUAGAUUGUUUGACAUUUUUGUUUUCUGAGGUAAGCUUGUAUCACUAUAAACUUCCCUCUUAGAACUGCCUUUGCUCUGUCCCAUAGAUUUUGGAUCAUCAUUUUUUUCGUUUCCACUUCUCUCUAGGUAUUUCUUUAUUCCCUCUUUGAUUUCUUCAGUGAUCCAUUGGUUGUUCAGUAACAUAUAGUUUAGCCUUCACGUUUGUGUUUUUUGCAGUUUUUUCUUUAUAGUUGAUUUCUAGUUUCAUAGCAUUGUGGUCGGAAAAGCUGCUUGAUAUAAUUUUAAUUUUCUUAAGUUUACUGAAGCUUGUUUUGUGGCCCAGCAUGUGAUCUAUCCUGGAGAAUGUUCUGUGUGCACUUGAAUUUGUAUUCUGCUGCUUUCAGAUGGAAUGUUCUAUGUAUAUCAGUUGAAUCCAUCUGGUCUAAUGUGUCAUUUAAGGCCAUGUUUCCUUACUGAUUUUCUAUCAAUGGAUGAUCUGUUCACUGAUGUAAGUGGGGUGUUAAAGUCCCUUACUAUUAUUAUGUUACUGUCAGUUUCUUUCUUUAUGUCUGUUAAUGUUUUCCUUAUGUAUUUUAGGUACUCCUGUGUUGUUUGCAUAUAUAUUUACAAUUGUUACAUUUUCUUCUUGGAUUGAUCCCUUGAUCCUUCUUUGUAGUGUCCUUCUUUGUCUCUUCUAACAACAGUCUUUAUUUGAACUCUAUUUUGGGGAAUUCCCUGGCGGUCCAGUGGUUAGGACUCCACGCUUUCACUGCAGGAGGCCCGGGUUUGAUCCCUGGUCAGGGAAGGAACUAAGAUCCCACAAGCUGCAUGGCGUGGCCAAAAAAAAAAAAAAAAAAUCCUGAAGUCUAUUUUGUCUGAAAAGUAUUGCUACUCUAGCUUAGUUUUGAUUUCCAUUUGCAUGGAAUAUCUUUUUCCAUCCCCUCACUUUCAGUCUGUUAUGUGUCUCUAAAUCUGAAGUGAGUCUCUCAUAGGCAAUAUAUAUGCAGGUCUUUUUUUUUUUUUUAUCAAUUCAGCCACUCUGUGUCUUUUGAUUGGAGCAUUCAGUCUAUUUAUUUACAUUUAAGGUAAUUAUUGAUAUGUAUGUUUUUAUUGCCAUUUUGCUAAUUGUUUGGGGGUUGUGUUUGUAGGUCUUCUUUUCCUUUCUUCUUUUGUUCCCUUGUGAUUUGAUGACUGUCUUUAGUGUAUUGUAUUCCUUUUUCUGUUUGUAUGUGUAUCUAUUAUAGGUUUUGAUGUUUUUUUGUUUUAGUAUUUUUACUGAAAUAUAGUUGAUUUGCAGUGUUGUGUUAAUUUCUGCUGUACAGCAAAGUGACUCAGUUUUACACAUAUAUACAUUAUUUUUAAUAUUCUUUUCCAUUAUAGUUUGUCAUAGGAUAUUGAAUAUAGUUCUCUGUGCUAUACAGCAAGACCUUGUUUAUCCAUUCUAUAUAUAGAAAAGCUUACAUCUGCUAACCCCAGCCUCCCACUCCAUCCCUCCCCCAACUACCUCCCCCUUGGCAACCACCAGUCUGUUCUCUAUGUAUGUGAUUCUGUUUCAUAGAUAGGUUCAUUUGUGUCAUAUUUUCGAUUUCAUAUAUAAGUGAUAUCAUUAUGGUAUUUGUCUUUGUCUGACUGCACUUAGUAUGAUAAUCUCUAGUUGCAUCCACAUUGCUGCAAAUGGCAUUAUUUCAUUCUUUUUCGUAGCUGAGUAGUAGUCCGUUGUAUACAUGUACCACAUCUUCUUUAUCCAUUUAUCUGUUGAUGAACAUUUAGGUUGUUUCCAUGUCUUGGCUGUUGUGAAUAAUGCUGCUACGAACAUAGGGGUGCAUAUAUCUUUUUGAAUUAUAGUUUUGUCUGGAUAUAUGCCCAGGAGUGGAAUAGCUGGAUCGUAUGGUAAUUCUAUUUUUAGUUUUCUGAGAAACCUCCAUACUGUUUUCCACAAUGGCUGCACCAACUUACAUUCCCACCAACAGUGUUAGGAGGAUUCCCUUUUCUCCACAUCCUCUCCAGCGUUUGUUACUUGUAGACUUUAAUGAUGGCCAUUCUGACCAGUUUGAGGUGGUACCUCAUUGUAGUUUUGAUUUGCAUUUCUCUAAUAAUUAGCAAUAUAGAGCACCUUUUCAUGUGCCUAUUGGUUAUCUGAAUGUCUUCUUUGGAGAAAUGUCUAUUUAGGUCUUCUGCCCAUUUUUCGAUUGGAUUUUUUUGUUGUUGUUGAGUUGUAUGAGCUGUGUGUGUAUUUUGUAAAUUAAGCCCUUGUUGGUUACAUAGUUUGCAAAUAUUUACUCCUGUUCUGUAGGUUGUCUUUUUUUUUUUUUAUGGUUUUCUUUGCUGUGCAAAAGCUUGUAAGUUUGAUAAGGUCCCAUUUGUUUAUUUUUGGUUUUAUUUCUAUUGCUUUAGGAGACUGACUUAAGGAAACAUGGGUACAAUUUAUGUCAGAGAAUGUUUUGCCUAUGAUCUCCUCUAGGAGUUUUAUGGUGUCAUGUCUUAUGUUUAAGUCUUUAAGCCAUUUUGAGUUUAUUUUUGUGUAUGGUGAGUUUAUUUUUGUGUAUGGUGACAGUCUUUUCACCACUUGCUGAAGAGACUGUUUUUUUCCAUUGUAUAUUCUUGCCUCCUCUGUCAAAGAUUAAUUGACCAUAAAUGUGUGGGUUUAUUUCUGGGCUCUCUGUUCUGUUCCAUUGAUGCAUAUGUCUGUUUUUGUGCCAAUACCACGCUGUUUUGAUUACUGUAGGUCUGUAGUAUUUUCUGAAGUCUGAGAGGGUUAUGCCUCUGAGAUUUUUGGUUUGUGGUUACCAUGAGAUUUUCAUGUAGCAGUCUAUAUAUAUACGUAAUUGUUUUAAGUUGCCAACCUCUUAACUUCAAAUGCAUUUGAAAUACCGUACAUUUGUACCCUCCUCCCCUCACGAUUACUGAUUUUUUUAUAUAAAGUUAUUUUUAUUUAUAUUAUCUAUUUUGUUUUGGCUGCAUUGGGUCUUCAUUGCUGCGCACAGGCUUUCUCUAGUUGCAGUGAGCAGGGGCUACUCUUCGUUGCGGUGCGUGGGCUUCUCAUUGCAGUGGCUUCUCGUUGCAGAGCAUGGGCUCUAGGCAUGCAGGCUCAGUAGUUGUGGCUCACGGGCUGUAGUGCGCUGGCUCAGUAGUUGUGGCACAUGGGCUUAGUUGUUCCGUGACAUGUGGGAUCUUCCUGGACCAGGGCUCGAACCCAUGUCCCAUGCAUUGGCAGGCAGAUUCUUAACCACUGCACCACUAGGAAAGUCCCUGAUUACUGUUUUUGAUAUCAUAUUUUACAUCUAAUUAUUUUGUGUAUCCCUUAACUGCUUAUUGUAGGUUUAGGUGGCCUUACUACUACUGUCUUUUAACCUUCCUACUAGCUUGGUGCGUGAAUGAUUUCCUACCUUUACUGUACGUUUGCCUUUACUGAUGUGUUUUUUCCUUUCAUAAUUUUCAUAUUUUUAGUUGUGGCCUUUUCUUGUUCACUUAGAGGUUUCUUUAACAUUUGUUAUAAAGCUUGUUUGGUGGUGCUGAACUCUUUUAGCUUUUGCUUGUCUGUAAAGCUUUGUUUCUGCAUCCAGUCUGAACAAGAGCCUCGCUAGGUAGAGUCUUGGCUGUAGGUUUUUCUUGUUCACUGUAAAUAUAUCGUGCCACUCCCUUCUGGCCUGUAGGCGUUCGGCUGAAAAGUCAGCUGAUAGCCUUAUGGGAGUUCCGGAGUUCCCUUGUGUGUUGUUGUUUUUCCCUUGCUGCUUUUAAUAAUCCCUCUUUAAUUUUUGCUGUUUUAAUUACAAUGUGUCUUGGUGUGUUCCUCCUUGGGUUAAUCCUGUGUUGGACUCUCUGUGCUUUCUGGACUUGUAUGACUGUUUCCUUUUCCAGGUUAGGGAAGUUUUUAGCUAUUAUGUAUUCAGAUAUGUUCUCAACCCCUUUCUGUCUCUUCUCCUUCUGGGACCCCUGUAAUGCGAAUAUUAACAUGCUUGAUGUUGUCCCAGAGGUCUCUUAAACUGUCCUCAUUUCUUUUCAUUGUUUCUUCUCUCAGCAUCAGUGGUUUCCACUACUCUUGUCUUCCAGCUCGUUGACCUGUUUCUCUGUAUCAUUUCGUCUACUGUUGAUUCCUUCUAUUUUUCAUUUGUUAUUCUUCAUCUCUGGUCGUUCUUUAUAUUUUCUGUUAAAAGCUUCUAAUUUCUUGCACUGUGUGUCCAUUCUUCUCCUGAGUUUUUUGAUCAUCGUUACAGUCACUACCCUGAACUCCUUCUCGGGUAGACUGCCGAUCUCCACUUCACUUAGCUCUUCUUCUGGGCUUUUAUCUUGUUCCUUCAUCUGGAACAUGUGCCUCUGUCGCCUCAUUUUGCCUAAGCUGCUGUUUGUAUUUUUAUGUAUCUGGUAGGUUGCUUACGUUUCCCGACCUUGGGGAAGUGGCCUUUCGUAGGAGAUGUCCCAUGCAUCCCAGCAGUGCACGCCCCUCGUCACCCAAGCCGUAUGCUCUAGGGUUUCCCCAUGAAGGCUGCGUGGGUCUUUCUGUAGCGGCGGGCUGCGUGGGCAGGCCCGCGUGGCCCUCGCCCAGCUGGUUGCCAGGCUCUGCCUCAUGUGGAGGCUGCUGGCUGCCGCUUGGCAGGGCCCGGUCACACCCCAGGGGGCCCCAGGGCUAGUGCUGGCUCACUGGUGGGUGAAGUCAGGGUCCAGGAGACUCCAGGGCAGUUGCUUGCCCACUGGGGGGGUCCUGGGGUCAGUGCCAGACUGCUGGCAGGCAGAGCUGGGUCCCCUAAGCCUGGUUGCAGGACCCAGAGGUCCCAGAGCUGGUGUAAGAUCACUGGGCUGGGGGUGGUCAGGUUGUUCCUAACACAGUUGGGUGCGGGGUGUCCUGAAGCGUGUGCUGGCCUCCUAGUGGCCAGGGCCCCGGGCCCAGCUCGUCCCAGGGCAAGGUCUGGCGUGCCGUGGGCAGGCUGAGGGAUUGGAGUUCUCUUGUGUCUGGCGUGUGCCCCCUGGUGGGGGUGGCAGGGCCUGGGGCUGGUGCCCGCUCACUGGGGGCUGGAGCUGAGUCCUGGGCCGUCUGGUGGGCAGGGUUGUGUCCUCAGGCGGUCUCCAGGCAGCCUGUCUGCUGCUGGGUGGGGCUGUGUCCCAAGCCCUGUUCGGCCGAGGGGUCCCAGCACCAGUGCCUGCAGGCUGCUGGGUGGGGCCCAGUCUUGGCGCCAGAGGAGCUAGAGGGAGGAUCCCACAGCGGUACCUGCCAGCCCCAGCAUACACCCGCAGGAGGCCCAGGAACGGCUGCCGCCAGCGUCUGUGUCCCCAGGGCGAGCCGUAGCUGCUUCCCGCCUCUCCAGGAGACUUUGGAAGACCAGCAGAUCUUUUUGGUAGGUUGGGUCUCUUUCACUGUGCUAUUGGUGUGCUCGUGAGAGGAGGUGAGCUCAGGGCCUUUCUACUCUGCCACCUUGGGUGAUCUCCAGCUCCAGUCUGGCCGAGGGAACUUUCUGCACUGACGGAUGCGGGCCAGCCACAUACAGCAGCCCACUGACCUUGUCUGACUGUUGACCACCAAAGCCAGCGUCAGUGCAGCCAAGAAACUUUUCAUUUCUUUCUUUUCAUUCAAACUAGCUCGUGUUUAAACAGCCACAUGUGGCUCCUCCCUCCAGGAUCUGCAUCCUGACACCAAGCCCACCCCAGCCCCCGAAAUGAACCACUCCAGACAACGGUACUUUUCCAAUUAUAGCUUUUUUUCUUUUCUUUUUUUUAUGAAAAAGAUCACACAGAAUUUGCCAACAAACAAAAUUCCAAAAGAAACUUAAAAAAAAAGGAAAACAAUAA